UGGGAGCAGGAUACAGAGUAGUGA
rnacentral:piRNA from 1 species